CUCCAACACUACUCCUUACAGAGUCAUGGCUUCAGGAUGACAAGGAUUGGAUCCUGAAUAUCGAGAGGGUACAUGGAAUUCAAGUUGAAUGGGAAGCGAGUUAAAGAGUAAGAUAUUGUCUGUUCUCAGCUCUGCUGGAUUUCUGCUGAAACUUUGACCCCACCUUUUAUACCUUCCAGAACAAUAAAACAUUCAGUCACUCAAGGCCUGACCCACAACCUCCCAGCCUGUCAACUGAACAGUGUUAUAAUCGCAGAGAAUAAAACAAGAAAAAUGGAACAAAAUUAGGAAUUAAAUAGGUUCUUGUUUAAUGUUUGUUUGUUAGGACGUAAACCAGAAAUUAGGUCUCCCAGGAUUUUUAUUGUGCCUUAAUUGAGGAAUUCUCUUUCCCUUACAUCUAACUAUUAGUACCCAGCUAUGAUUUAUAACAAUAUUUGCAUCAACGGAAAUAAAGCAUCUGUUAUCAAAUAGACAUAGAAAUAUACAGCACAGAAAUAGACUUUUUGAUCCAACACAUCCAUGCUGAUAAGGUAUCCUAUGUAA